rnacentral:lncRNA from 9 species
UCUCUUUUUCAGCUUUCAGAAACUUGUUAAUUUCUUGUCUCCUCUCCUAUUCUCUUUGCAUUUUGGAAUUAUACUAUUUACAUUUCUUUUAUUGUUGUUUUAGUGGGUGUCAGGAAGGAGUGGCAAUAAACACGUGUAUUCAGUCUGCCAUGUUAAAGGAGGUCCAAUCCUUUUGUAUGGCUUUGACAUAUCAUAAUAAAACCAGUAUAAAGAAAUGAAGCAGUUCUUUACUUCUAGAUAUUCACCCCUUCUUGUUUUCUGGCGUAGGGUGUGUGACGGGCACACAAUGGAAAAUAACCAAAGAGCACACACAUCAGACCUGAGACUGCAGUAUUCUUUGGAGAAAAAUCAGAGAGAGACGUAUCAGGCAGAUUCCAUUUAUCUCAAAAGAGAAGAAAUAGGCUGAUCUGCAUUCAGCAACUGACUGCCCCAGAGCCUCUGCAGUGUGAAGAUUUGAAAUUGACUUUCUCCCUGGAGGAUGUUUCUUGGAUGCAAGAGGGGAAGAAAAGUCAGCUAAGCCAAAGCAUUUUUAAAGAUCUUCUCUCGGAAGCAAGAUACAAACUGUGCUUUUUAGACAAUACAUUUCCAGUGUUCUAAGCUGUGACCUUCCCUCCUUCAAAUGAAUACCAGUGGAAAUCAUCAGUUUCUCCUUGAGUGAGAAACAGAAUUUAUUGCUGUUAGGAGGUAGGCGAGAAGGGAAUUUAGUCUGUGAAAGAAUUAGUAGUCUUUCCAAGGGUUUUUGGAUCUGCAAAGCAAAUUUUUCCUAAGGGGAAAAAAGCUGGAUUCCUAUACUUUAAAGAGAGUGGGGCAUUUACUUCAAUUUUGGAAUGCAAAAAAAAAAAAAAAAAAAAUGAAGGAUUUUGUCACAAAAUGACAGUCAGAGACAUCUGAACAUAGAUGUACUCCUUCCUCAACAGUCUCAGGACACUCUAGUGUCAUCAUGCUUAUCAUGACUUUGACAGUCACUAUGUAGGGAAAAGCCUAAGUAGUGGAAUGGGCAGAAUCCUGCCUCUGUCACCCAUAGCUCUGUGUUCUAACCAUUGUAACCUCAGUUUCCUCAUCUGUAAAAUGCAGAUAAUACCUUGCAGACAUGUUCUGAUGAUUAAAUGUG